rnacentral:misc_RNA from 1 species
GAUGAAGAACGUAGCGAAAUGCGAUACUUGGUGUGAAUUGCAGAAUCCCGUGAACCAUCGAGUCUUUGAACGCAAGUUGCGCCCGAAGCCAUUAGGCCGAGGGCACGCCUGCCUGGGUGUCACACGUCGUUGCCCCCCCAUCUACUCCUUCGGGAUUGCGGGGGGCGGAUGAUGGCCUCCCGUGCGCCUCGUCGCGCGGUUGGCAUAAAUGCCAAGUCCUCGGCGACGCACGCCACGACAAUCGGUGGUUACGAAACCUCGGUUGCCCGUCGUGUGCGGUCGUCGCGCAUCGAGGGCUCGAAAAAAUUGCCGGGCUCCGGCUCGGCUUUCAACGCGACCCCAGGUCAGGCGGGGUUACCCGCUGAAUUUAAGCAUAUCAAUAAGCGGAGGA